rnacentral:sRNA from 1 species
ACAGAGCCACUAGAUUAGUCUGUGAGGGAAGGAGAUGCCUCUUCCUUCCCUUCUAUAGUGGGUUAAACCCAGCUGGCACCCUCUGGAACUACGGGAACAAUAUUCUUCAAGAGAAGCUCACUCUACCAAAGCCAGGAGCACAGUAUUCUCAGGAUCUCAACAAGGAAGAGCAGACCAAGCUAUCAACAGUCCUCAGCUGGCCAACCUGUAAAUGCUAAGCCCACACCAAGAACUCCUGAUCACGAAAUACAAGGAUCAAAAGAAGCUUUGAUUCAAGAUUUGGAAAGAAAGCUGAAAUGCAAGGACACCCUUCUUCAUAAUGGAAAUCAACGUCUAACAUAUGAAGAGAAGAUGGCUCGCAGAUUGCUAGGACCACAGAAUGCAGCUGCCGUAUUUCAAACUCAGGAUGACAGUGGUGCACAAGACUCGCAGCAACACAACUCAGAACAUGCGCGACUGCAAGUUCCUACAUCACAAGUAAGCAAAAGAACAUAAAAGAGCACCAAUGUUUAUCUACAAACCACAGAGCAAAAAAGUUU